AACGAACGCUGGCGGCAUGCCUAACACAUGCAAGUCGAACGAGACCUUCGGGUCUAGUGGCGCACGGGUGCGUAACGCGUGGGAACCUGCCCUUAGGUUCGGAAUAACUCCCCGAAAGGGGUGCUAAUACCGGAUAAUGUCUUCGGACCAAAGAUUUAUCGCCUUUGGAUGGGCCCGCGUUGGAUUAGCUAGUUGGUAGGGUAAAAGCCUACCAAGGCGACGAUCCAUAGCUGGUCUAAGAGGAUGAUCAGCCACACUGGGACUGAGACACGGCCCAGACUCCUACGGGAAGCAGCAGUGGGGAAUAUUGGACAAUGGGCGAAAGCCUGAUCCAGCAAUGCCGCGUGAGUGAUGAAGGCCUUAGGGUUGUAAAGCUCUUUUACCCGGGAUGAUAAUGACAGUACCGGGAGAAUAAGCUCCGGCUAACUCCGUG
rnacentral:rRNA from 1 species